GAAUAGUUAGCUCAGUUGGUUAGAGCACUGGCUCCUUACGCCAGUGGUCGUGGGUUCGAGUCCCGCAUCGUUCG